rnacentral:rRNA from 1 species
GACGAACGCUGGCGGCGUGCCUAAUACAUGCAAGUAGAACGCUGAAGGAGGAGCUUGCUUCUCUGGAUGAGUUGCGAACGGGAGAGUAACGCGUAGGUAACCUGCCUGGUAGCGGGGGAUAACUAUUGGAAACGAUAGCUAAUACCGCAUAAUAGUAGAUGUUGCAUGACAUUUGCUUAAAAGGUGCACUUGCAUCACUACCAGAUGGACCUGCGUUGUAUUAGCUAGUUGGUGGGGUAACGGCUCACCAAGGCGACGAUACAUAGCCGACCUGAGAGGGUGAUCGGCCACACUGGGACUGAGACACGGCCCAGACUCCUACGGGAGGCAGCAGUAGGGAAUCUUCGGCAAUGGACGGAAGUCUGACCGAGCAACGCCGCGUGAGUGAAGAAGGUUUUCGGAUCGUAAAGCUCUGUUGUAAGAGAAGAACGAGUGUGAGAGUGGAAAGUUCACACUGUGACGGUAUCUGACCAGAAAGGGACGGCUAACUACGUG